AUUGAACGCUGGCGGCAGGCUUAACACAUGCAAGUCGCGCGGGGUGAUGGUGCUUGCACUAUCACUUAGCGGCGGACGGGUGAGUAAUGCUUAGGAAUCUGCCUAUUAGUGGGGGACAACCUCUCGAAAGGGAUGCUAAUACCGCAUACGUACUCCGGGAGAAAGCACGGGGUCACGUGUGCCCUUGCGCUAAUAGAUGAGCCUAAGUCGGAUUAGCUAGGUGGUGGGGGAAAGGCCUACCAAUGCGACGAUCUGGAGCGGGUCGGGGAGGAUAAUCCGCCACAAGGGGGCUGAGCCACGGCCCAGACUCCUACGGGAGGCAGCAGUGGGGAAUAUUGGACAAUGGGGGGAACCCUGAUCCAGCCAUGCCGCGGGUGUGAAGAAGGCCUUAUGGUUGUAAAGCACUUUAAGCGAGGAGGAGGCUCUUUUGGUUAAUACCCAAGAUGAGUGGACGUUACUCGCAGAAUAAGCACCGGCUAACUCUGUGCCAGCCGCCGCCGUAA
rnacentral:rRNA from 1 species